GCUGUUUCGCUGACGAGUGGCGGACGGGUGAGUAAUGUCUGGGAAACUGCCUGAUGGAGGGGGAUAACUACUGGAAACGGUAGCUAAUACCGCAUAACGUCGCAAGACCAAAGAGGGGGACCUUCGGGCCUCUUGCCAUCGGAUGUGCCCAGAUGGGAUUAGCUAGUAGGUGGGGUAACGGCUCACCUAGGCGACGAUCCCUAGCUGGUCUGAGAGGAUGACCAGCCACACUGGAACUGAGACACGGUCCAGACUCCUACGGGAGGCAGCAGUGGGGAAUAUUGCACAAUGGGCGCAAGCCUGAUGCAGCCAUGCCGCGUGUAUGAAGAAGGCCUUCGGGUUGUAAAGUACUUUCAGCGGGGAGGAAGGGAGUAAAGUUAAUACCUUUGCUCAUUGACGUUACCCGCAGAAGAAGCACCGGCUAACUCCGUGCCAGCAGCCGCGGUAAUACGGAGGGUGCAAGCGUUAAUCGGAAUUACUGGGCGUAAAGCGCACGCAGGCGGUUUGUUAAGUCAGAUGUGAAAUCCCCGGGCUCAACCUGGGAAC
rnacentral:rRNA from 1 species